AUCCAGCUAACGAGUCCCAAAUAGGACGAAACGCGCGUCCUGGAA
rnacentral:hammerhead_ribozyme from 1 species